UGGGGAAUAUUGCACAAUGGAGGAAACUCUGAUGCAGCGACGCCGCGUGAACGAUGAAGGCCUUCGGGUCGUAAAGUUCUGUCCUAGGGGACGAUAAUGACGGUACCCUAGGAGGAAGCCCCGGCUAACUACGUGCCAGCAGCCGCGGUAAUACGUAGGGGGCGAGCGUUGUCCGGAAUUAUUGGGCGUAAAGGGUUCGUAGGCGGUUUUUUAAGUCAGGUGUCAAAGACAUAGGCUCAACCUGUGUAAGCACUUGAAACUGGAAGACUUGAGUGAAGGAGAGGAAAGUGGAAUUCCUAGUGUAGCGGUGAAAUGCGUAGAUAUUAGGAGGAAUACCAGUGGCGAAGGCGACUUUCUGGACUUAUACUGACGCUGAGGAACGAAAGCGUGGGGAGCAAACA
rnacentral:rRNA from 1 species